GCCUAGGAAUCUGCCUGGUAGUGGGGGACAACGUCUCGAAAGGGACGCUAAUACCGCAUACGUCCUACGGGAGAAAGCAGGGGACCUUCGGGCCUUGCGCUAUCAGAUGAGCCUAGGUCGGAUUAGCUAGUUGGUGAGGUAAUGGCUCACCAAGGCGACGAUCCGUAACUGGUCUGAGAGGAUGAUCAGUCACACUGGAACUGAGACACGGUCCAGACUCAUACGGGAGGCAGCAGUGGGGAAUAUUGGACAAUGGGCGAAAGCCUGAUCCAGCCAUGCCGCGUGUGUGAAGAAGGUCUUCGGAUUGUAAAGCACUUUAAGUUGGGAGGAAGGGUUGUAGAUUAAUACUCUGCAAUUUUGACGUUACCGACAGAAUAAGCACCGGCUAACUCUGUGCCAGCAGCCGCGGUAAUACAGAGGGUGCAAGCGUUAAUCGGAAUUACUGGGCGUAAAGCGCGCGUAGGUGGUUUGUUAAGUUGGAUGUGAAAGCCCCGGGCUCAACCUGGGAACUGCAUUCAAAACUGACAAGCUAGAGUAUGGUAGAGGGUGGUGGAAUUUCCUGUGUAGCGGUGAAAUGCGUAGAUAUAGGAAGGAACACCAGUGGCGAAGGCGACCACCUGGACUGAUACUGACACUGAGGUGCGAAAGCGUGGGGAGCAAACAGGAUUAGAUACCCUGGUAGUCCACGCCGUAAACGAUGUCAACUAGCCGUUGGGAGCCUUGAGCUCUUAGUGGCGCAGCUAACGCAUUAAGUUGACCGCCUGGGGAGUACGGCCG
rnacentral:rRNA from 1 species